ACGCUCGACACCUACGGGAGACAGCAGUGGGGAAUAUUGCACAAUGGAGGAAACUCUGAUGCAGCGAUGCCGCGUGAGGGAAGAAGGUUUUCGGAUUGUAAACCUCUGUCUUUGGGGACGAUAAUGACGGUACCCAAGGAGGAAGCUCCGGCUAACUACGUGCCAGCAGCCGCGGUAAUCUGAGCGGGCUGGCAAGGC
rnacentral:rRNA from 1 species